GACCCAGUGGCGGAUGGUCCGCAUCUCCCUCUCUUAUCAAGUGUUCAUGCAGACAAGGAGAAGCUGCCUGUUCGAUUCGGGCCUGGGUCA